GGUUAAGCGACUAAGCGUACACGGUGGAUGCCCUGGCAGUCAGAGGCGAUGAAGGACGUGCUAAUCUGCGAAAAGCGUCGGUAAGGUGAUAUGAACCGUUAUAACCGGCGAUGUCCGAAUGGGGAAACCCAGUGCAAUUCGUUGCACUAUCGUUAACUGAAUACAUAGGUUAACGAGGCGAACCGGGGGAACUGAAACAUCUAAGUACCCCGAGGAAAAGAAAUCAACCGAGAUUCCCCCCAGUAGCGGCGAGCGAACGGGGAGCAGCCCAGAGUCUGAAUCAGCUUGUGUGUUAGUGGAACGGUCUGGAAAGUCCGACGGUACAGGGUGAUAGUCCCGUACACCAAAAUGCACAGGCUGUGAACUCGAAGAGUAGGGCGGGACACGUGGUAUCCUGUCUGAAUAUGGGGGGACCAUCCUCCAAGGCUAAAUACUCCUGACUGACCGAUAGUGAACCAGUACCGUGAGGGAAAGGCGAAAAGAACCCCGGCGAGGGGAGUGAAAAAGAACCUGAAACCGUGUACGUACAAGCAGUGGGAGCACCUUCGGGUGUGACUGCGUACCUUUGUAUAAUGGGUCAGCGACUUAUAUUCUGUAGCAAGGUUAACCGUAUAGGGGAGCCGCAGGGAAACCGAGUCUUAACUGGGCGUUAAGUUGCAGGGUAUAGACCCGAAACCCGGUGAUCUAGCCAUGGGCAGGUUGAAGGUUGGGUAACACUAACUGGAGGACCGAACCGACUAAUGUUGAAAAAUUAGCGGAUGACUUGUGGCUGGGGGUGAAAGGCCAAUCAAACCGGGAGAUAGCUGGUUCUCCCCGAAAGCUAUUUAGGUAGCGCCUCGUGAACUCAUCUUCGGGGGUAGAGCACUGUUUCGGCUAGGGGGUCAUCCCGACUUACCAACCCGAUGCAAACUACGAAUACCGAAGAAUGUUAUCACGGGAGACACACGGCGGGUGCUAACGUCCGUCGUGAAGAGGGAAACAACCCAGACCGCCAGCUAAGGUCCCAAAGUCAUGGUUAAGUGGGAAACGAUGUGGGAAGGCACAGACAGCCAGGGAUGUUGGCUUAGAAGCAGCCAUCAUUUAAAGAAAGCGUAAUAGCUCACUGGUCGAGUCGGCCUGCGCGGAAGAUGUAACGGGGCUAAACCAUGCACCGAAGCUGCGGCAGCGACACUAUGUGUUGUUGGGUAGGGGAGCGUUCUGUAAGCCUGCGAAGGUGUGCUGUGAGGCAUGCUGGAGGUAUCAGAAGUGCGAAUGCUGACAUAAGUAACGAUAAAGCGGGUGAAAAGCCCGCUCGCCGGAAGACCAAGGGUUCCUGUCCAACGUUAAUCGGGGCAGGGUGAGUCGACCCCUAAGGCGAGGCCGAAAGGCGUAGUCGAUGGGAAACAGGUUAAUAUUCCUGUACUUGGUGUUACUGCGAAGGGGGGGACGGAGAAGGCUAUGUUAGCCGGGCGACGGUUGUCCCGGUUUAAGCAUGUAGGCUGAUUGUCCGAGGCAAAUCCGGAUAAUCAAGGCUGAGGUGUGAUGACGAGGCACUACGGUGCUGAAGUAACAAAUGCCCUGCUUCCAGGAAAAGCCUCUAAGCAUCAGGUAACAUCAAAUCGUACCCCAAACCGACACAGGUGGUCAGGUAGAGAAUACCAAGGCGCUUGAGAGAACUCGGGUGAAGGAACUAGGCAAAAUGGUGCCGUAACUUCGGGAGAAGGCACGCUGGUGUGUAGGUGAAGUCCCUGCGGAUGGAGCUGAGACCAGUCGAAGAUACCAGCUGGCUGCAACUGUUUAUUAAAAACACAGCACUGUGCAAACACGAAAGUGGACGUAUACGGUGUGACGCCUGCCCGGUGCCGGAAGGUUAAUUGAUGGGGUUAUCCGUAAGGAGAAGCUCUUGAUCGAAGCCCCGGUAAACGGCGGCCGUAACUAUAACGGUCCUAAGGUAGCGAAAUUCCUUGUCGGGUAAGUUCCGACCUGCACGAAUGGCGUAAUGAUGGCCAGGCUGUCUCCACCCGAGACUCAGUGAAAUUGAACUCGCUGUGAAGAUGCAGUGUACCCGCGGCAAGACGGAAAGACCCCGUGAACCUUUACUAUAGCUUGACACUGAACAUUGAGCCUUGAUGUGUAGGAUAGGUGGGAGGCUUUGAAGCGUGGACGCCAGUCUGCGUGGAGCCAACCUUGAAAUACCACCCUUUAAUGUUUGAUGUUCUAACGUUGGCCCCUGACCGGGGUUGCGGACAGUGUCUGGUGGGUAGUUUGACUGGGGCGGUCUCCUCCCAAAGCGUAACGGAGGAGCACGAAGGUUAGCUAAUCCUGGUCGGACAUCAGGAGGUUAGUGCAAUGGCAUAAGCUAGCUUGACUGCGAGCGUGACGGCGCGAGCAGGUGCGAAAAGCAGGUCAUAGUGAUCCGGUGGUUCUGAAUGGAAGGGCCAUCGCUCAACGGAUAAAAGGUACUCCGGGGAUAACAGGCUGAUACCGCCCAAGAGUUCAUAUCGACGGCGGUGUUUGGCACCUCGAUGUCGGCUCAUCACAUCCUGGGGCUGAAGUAGGUCCCAAGGGUAUGGCUGUUCGCCAUUUAAAGUGGUACGCGAGCUGGGUUUAGAACGUCGUGAGACAGUUCGGUCCCUAUCUGCCGUGGGCGCUGGAGAAUUGAGGGGGGCUGCUCCUAGUACGAGAGGACCGGAGUGGACGCAUCACUGGUGUUCGGGUUGUCAUGCCAAUGGCACUGCCCGGUAGCUAAAUGCGGAAGAGAUAAGUGCUGAAAGCAUCUAAGCACGAAACUUGCCCCGAGAUGAGUUCUCCCUGAGACUUUAAGUCUCCUGAAGGAACGUUAAAGACGAUGACGUUGAUAGGCCGGGUGUGUAAGCGCAGCGAUGCGUUGAGCUAACCGGUACUAAUGAACCGUGAGGCUUAACCUU
rnacentral:rRNA from 1 species